rnacentral:rRNA from 1 species
AACGUAGGAGGCAAGCGUUAUCCGGAUUUACUGGGCGUAAAGCGUGUGUAGGCGGUAUGGUAAGUCGGACGUGAAAGCUCCUGGCUCAACUGGGAGAGGCCGUUCGAAACUUCCAAACUUGAGGGCAGUAGAGGGAGGUGGAAUUCCGGGUGUAGCGGUGAAAUGCGUAGAUAUCCGGAGGAACACCAGUGGCGAAGGCGGCCUCCUGGACUGUCCCUGACGCUCAGACACGAAAGCUAGGGGAGCAAACGGGAUUAAGAUACCCCGGUA